rnacentral:rRNA from 1 species
GCUUGUCUCAAAGAUUAAGCCAUGCAUGUCUAAGUACAAGCCUCAGUAAGGUGAAACCGCGAAUGGCUCAUUAAAUCACACCUAAUCUACUGGAAAGUUACUAGUUACUUGGAUAACUGAGGUAAUUCUUGAGCUAAUACAUGCGAAAAAUCUCGACUCACGGAGAGAUGCUUUUAUUAGACUUAAGCCAAUAUUCCUUGUGUCUAUUGCGAUGAUUCAUAAUAACUGAUCGAAUCUCAAAUUUGAGAUAAAUCAUUCAAGUUUCUGCCCUAUCAGCUUUCGAUGGUAGUGUAUUGGACUACCAUGGCAGUAACGGGUAACGAAGAAUUAGGGUUCGAUUUCGGAGAGGGAGCAUGAGAAACGGCUACCACAUCUAAGGAAGGCAGCAGG